rnacentral:lncRNA from 1 species
UCCCGGGAGUGAAGGGGAUGGGGCCGACCCGGACCCUCCAGGGAACGCCCUUGAGUAACUCCCGCACUUGGGACCCCGUUUCCACCCAGGACCACAGGCUCAAGAUGGCCUGGUAGAUGCAGCCGGCACGCGCCUCUCCUCCGACGGGAACAGAAGGAGCCGGUAGGUUUUCACACUUGCAGCAGAUCCGCUAAGAGAACGAGGGAUUCAGCCGAGAAGCCACUGGGAGCCCGAGGAGUGGAGCAGAGGCACCCAGGCAGCCUGCGCGGAGAAAUCGGAUCGGCUGGGACGGCCUGCAGCCCCCGCGCGCGGGGAAAGGUUAAAAUUAAAAGAAAAAAGCAUCCAAAAAUGCAUACAUCAACGUAAAGGAUUUUUUUUUUUUUGGUGAGAUGGAGUCUCGCUCUUGUCGCCCAGGCAGGAGUGCAGUGGCGCGAUCUUGGCUCACUACAACAUCCGCCUCCCGGGUUCAAGCGAUUCUCGUUACUCAGCCUCCCAAGUAGCUGGGAUUACAGGCGCCCGCGACCACGCCCGGCUGAUAUUUUUAUUUUUAGUAGAGACGGGGUUUCCCCAUGUUGGCCAGGCUGGUCUCGAACUCCCUACCUCAGGUGAUCCACCCGCCUCGGCCUCCCAGAGUGCUGGAAUUACAGGCGUGAGCCACCGUGCCCGGCCAAAUAGUCUAUUUAUAUUAGCAAACACACCUGUGUGCACACGGAGCUUGCGGACCAGUCUGGAAGGGGAGGGCGGGGCCGACCCGGACCCUCCAGGGAACGCCCUUGAGUAACUCGCGCACUUGGGACCCAUUCCCACCUAGGACCAUAGGCUCAAGAUGGCCUGGUGGAUGCCGCCGGCACGCGCCUCUCCUCUGGCGGGAACCGAAGGCGCCGGUAGGUUUUCACACUUGCAGCCGAUCGGCUAAGAGAACGCGGGAUUCAGCCGAGAAGCCACUGGGAGCCCGAGGAGCGGAGCAGAGGCACCCAGGCAGCCUGCGCGGAGAAAUCGGAUCGGCUAGGACGGCCUGCAGCCCCUGCGCGCGGGGAAAGGGAAGAAGUCCUCCCCUACAAAGCGAGUUCACAAACUUGGAAGAAGCCACUUUCACAGGAUGCACAGAUCUCAACGGAAGGACACAGAAAACAUGAAAAAGCAAGGAAAUGGGGCGCCUCCAACGGAACCCAGUAAUUCUCCAGCAGCAGAUCCCCAUCCAAAAGAAACAGAAGACAUUUUGGAGAGAGAAUUGAAUAUACAUAUUAUACAGUUGUGGGCAUAAUACAAGCAUCAUUUGGAAAAGAACAGAGAAAAAAGAUGGAAGGAGUUACCGUACUGCAGGAAAAAAUUAUCAACUCCAGUGAUAUUAUUAAAUACAACCUAACGACACUUCUGAAGCUGAAGAAAUCACUGGAUGAAAUACAAAGUAAACUCAAAAGCUUCAGUGAUAGACUAGAACAAGAAGAAGAAAGACUCUCAAAACUUGAAAUCUGAAGCAUGUUUCUUAAAGAUUUAAAGGGUUAUUAUACUCUGGCCAUUAAUGUGAACGAAAUCUGCUGGGUUAAUUCUUAUACUGGGGUCUUGGAUAAUCAUUAAAGUGAAAUGAGAAUAAGACUACAGGCUCAAGAUGGCCUGGUAGAUGCAGCCGGCACGCACCUCUCCUCUGACGGGAACCGAAGGAGCCGGUAGGUUUUCACACUUGCAGCAGAUCCGCUAAGAGAACGCGGGAUUCAGCCGAGAAGCCACGGGGAGCCCGAGGAGCGGAGCAGAGGCACCCAGGCAGCCUGCGCGGAGAAAUUGGAUCGGCGGGGACGGCCUGCAGCUCCCGCGCGCGGGGAAAGGGAAGAAGUCCUCCCCUACAAAGCAAAUUCACAAACUUGGAAGAAGCAAUUUACACAGGAUGUGCAGAUCUCAAUGGAAGGACACGGGAAACGUGAAAAAGCAAGGAAGUGGGACGCCUCCAAAGGAACCCAGUAAUUCUCCAGCAACAGAUCCCCAUCCAAAAGAAAUUCAAGAAAUGUCAUAUAGAGAAUUGUGGAAACUGAUUUUAACCAAGAUUAGAGGGAUUCAAGAGACUUCUGAAAAAGAAAGUAAGGAAAUGUCAACAGCAAUUCUGGAUAUGGUUGAGGUAUUUACCAACCAGAUACAGAGUUUUCCAGAGCACAUGGCAAAUGUGGAACUGAAGAAAUCACUGGAUGAAAUACAAAGUAUACUCGAAAGCUUCAAUGAUAGACUAGAUCAAGCAGAAAAAAAACUCUCAAAACUUAAAAUCUGAAGGCUUUUACUCAAUUCAAAUAUUUAAUGGGUUGUACUCUGGCCAUUCAGGUGAACAAAAUCUGCUGGGUUAAUUUUUUUUUUUUUUUUUUUU